CAGGACGAACGCUGGCGGCGUGCCUAACACAUGCAAGUCGAGCGGGGUCCAUCCGGUAGCAAUACCGGGGAAGACCUAGCGGCGAACGGGUGAGUAACACGUGAGAAACCUGCCCCGAAGUCUGGGAUAACCCGAGGAAACUCGAGCUAAUACCGGAUGUCUUCUCUGAUCGCAUGGUCGGAUGAAGAAAGAUUUAUCGCUUCGGGAGGGUCUCGCGGCCUAUCAGCUAGUUGCGGGGUAACGGCCCACCAAGGCGUCGACGGGUAGCUGGUCUGAGAGGACGAUCAGCCACACUGGGACUGAGACACGGCCCAGACUCCUACGGGAGGCAGCAGUGGGGAAUAUUGCGCAAUGGGCGAAAGCCUGACGCAGCAACGCCGCGUGCGGGAUGAAGGCCUUCGGGUUGUAAACCGCUUUCAGUGGGGACGAAUUCAGACGGUACCCACAGAAGAAGCCCCGGCCAACUACGUG
rnacentral:rRNA from 1 species